UCUAGAAGUGUACCUUUGUGUCUAGACCGCUCGGAAAAAACACUUAUUGUGCUUCACUGACGCCAUACCUCCUGCUCCGUUAUCACGUCUUGCUGCUCCUUUCGAAACACAGUCAGGCAUGCUUGCCAUCCAGAUCAUCUUGUGUGGAAACGACUGCAAGGACGACAUCAGGCCCCAUACUAUGGUCGGUGACAGUCGUGUCCUACAUCUUCUGGAUCGCCAUCUAACGAACUUCGGUUUCGUGUCUGCAGUGGGCCUCAAUUCCGUUCCCUCAUGCUCAAACGGUUCAUCAUUGAUUUUUUAAAAAAUUCUCUGAUUUUUUUUAAUUCUGAUUUUUUAAAAAAUUCUCUGAUUUUUAAAAAAUUCUGAUUUUUAAAAAAUUCUCGCCGCGAAGCAACUGUGGUUGUGAUCGGCGUACAGACAUGGACAUAUGGAGAAAGGACAGCUGGAAGGAGUGGGGGACACUAUACGCGUCCUGGGCUGGCUCUCAGGCGUAACUGUGCCGACAUCGGUGAGAAAAGCCUGCUGGAAAACCCAGAGAAAACCUCAGUAUAUAGCACAGCCGGUGGUAGGAUUGGAACCCAGCACUUCCCAGACUACAGCACGACCUAUGGGAUGUAGUACCACCGAGGAGCGAAUGCUUUGAUCCAGCACUCGGCCAUGCUGCUGGGUACAUCACUGAUGCCACUGCGUUCACUGCAGUUAAAUUACGUUACGAUGUAAAGAUAAUAGGCAGAAAUAGAUGACUUCACCGAA